ACCCCCAGGAUGUAGAAGAGGACCUCCAAUGGCCUUUUCUUUAUCCCUUAUUUUCAAUGUCGAGGAUUUCAUUGGUUUGUUUUUGUUCUAUGUCUUGAAUUGUUUUGGGUUUUCUCAUUCGAUCACCCUGCUCUGGAACUAUCCCUCGGCCGAAGCCAAGCCAAUUUGGAUAGCCAGCGCCUUUGGGAUCUGAAGGGGUAUGUUUAUUGAUCACGAGCAUUUCACGCGCUCGUUCGCGUUUUUCUGUACCAGCCUGGGACCCGGAGCUAGUGGGUCUCAACUCACAACCACUCGUCCUCCUGAAUGGCCAAGGAACGAACAAAGGACCACUCCUGAUCAGGGCUGGAUACCUCUCACAUUUCCUAGCCGAACUGGACCCUCUUGGGACAUGGUGUGGAGCGCGUGGGCUUUGUGAGUUGUUCAAGCGUCGUCCAGCGUUGACGCUACUACCCUUAGCCUCACCACCCUAAACCGUCUCGGCAUUUGGUUAUGGGACAACAAUAUUCCACGGCACUUGGUCCAGGAUGGACCCGACUAACAUCAACCAAAUCAGAUUAGCCACUUAAAACAUCCUGAGAAUCCAGCAACCAUCAAAAGUUGAGCAUCACUUGGGUGCAACAACCCCUCAUUAAUGCGAUCUGAAUUGAAUUUUCAUUGACCGAAUCCGAUCUAUAUCCAAUCAAAGUUCUCACCCAAUCCAACUUGAUCCGAUAUAUUUUUACUUUAUCCGA